CCUAUACUAUUGACCUAUCUAGGUCCAAUGCACUUUCCACCCUAGGUCCAACUGACUCUAGGUCUAAUGCCUCAAUUUCACAACCUAGGUUUACCUUAACUCUAGGUUUAGUUCUCAACCUAUGUUCUUUAACACUAGGUUAGAUGCCACACACCUAGAUCCCGACUCUAGGUUCAUACUCAACCUAUGUUCUUUAACACUAGGUUAGAUGCCACACACCUAGAUCCCGACUCUAGGUUCAUACUUAACCUAUGUUCUUUAACACUAGGUUAGAUGCCACUCGUUAUGUAUCCUAGGUUCAACAACACUAGGUUCGAUGUCAUCUAUGUCCGAC
rnacentral:lncRNA from 1 species